rnacentral:rRNA from 1 species
UACGUAGGGGGCAAGCGUUGUCCGGAAUUAUUGGGCGUAAAGGGCGCGCAGGCGGUCUUUUAAGUCUGAUGUGAAAUCUCGUAGCUUAACUACGAGCGGUCAUUGGAAACUGGAAGACUUGAGGACAGAAGAGGAGAGUGGAAUUCCACGUGUAGCGGUGAAAUGCGUAGAGAUGUGGAGGAACACCAGUGGCGAAGGCGACUCUCUGGUCUGUAACUGACGCUGAGGCGCGAAAGCGUGGGGAGCGAACAGGAUUAGAUACCCGGGUA